UAGAGAAAUUCCUGUUUGAGUGCCCACAACCUAUCGGUUGUUUAGAAAAGCAAGGCUAGGGGGCUAAGGAAAUAGGCUUGAGAACCACAAAAGGCCCAUCUCUUUGUUUCCAGGCUCUGUUCAGGGUCUGUAGCUCAGUUGGUUAGAGCACACGCUUGAUAAGCGUGGGGUCGGUGGUUCAAGUCCACCCAGACCCACCAACUAAAAGGGGGUGUAGCUCAGAUGGGAGAGCACCUGCUUUGCAAGCAGGGGGUCAUCGGUUCGAUCCCGUUCACCUCCACCAAUCAGAAAAGCAAUUACCUAUUAGAAGCCAGAAGUAAACGGAAAGGCUUACUUCUGGUUUUUAACCAGCGGCUGUAUUUCGGGAGCAUUCAGGUUUUCGAGGUUGUUUUAUUCAACCCUGAAUUUCCUGUAUUGAGUUCCCGACGUUCUUUAACAAUCUGGAAGAAGUAAAUAUUCCGUAUCUAUGGAUACGCUACCCUUAACUGGAUUGCGUUUUUCAAGGAACGGAAUAAUGGGUUAGAUUGUAUCGACGUAUCGCAUUUUUAGUCGGAUGCGAUGCAAAGCAAACACCUGUAACCACUGGUUUGGAAGAUGAAAAGGAGUCUGCUUCUCAACGACAUCCGAUUCAGCUUCUAAAGCCCUUAAGGUUAUAG
rnacentral:misc_RNA from 1 species